rnacentral:rRNA from 1 species
UGGGGAAUAUUGCACAAUGGGCGCAAGCCUGAUGCAGCCAUGCCGCGUGUGUGAAGAAGGCCUUCGGGUUGUAAAGCACUUUCAGCGAGGAGGAAGGUGGUGAGCUUAAUACGCUCAUCAAUUUGACGUUUACUCGCAGAAGAAGCACCGGCUAACUCCGUGCCAGCAGCCGCGGUAAUACGGAGGGUGCAAGCGUUAAUCGGAAUUACUGGGCGUAAAGCGCACGCAGGCGGUUUGUUAAGUCAGAUGUGAAAUCCCCGGGCUCAACCUGGGAACUGCAUUUGAAACUGGCAAGCUAGAGUCUCGUAGAGGGGGGUAGAAUUCCAGGUGGUAGCGGUGAAAUGCGUUAGAGAUCUGGAGGAAUACCGGUGGCGAAGGCGGCCCCCUGGCACGAAGACUGACGCUCAGGUGCGAAAGCGUGGGAGCAAACA